GUAGGUGAACCUGCGGAGGGAUCAUUACAGAGUUUUUAACUCCUAAAACCAUGUGAACUUACCACUGUUGCCUCGGUGGAAGGUAUCCGAAAGGGUGCUGGAAGCCGGCGGACAUCUAAACUCUUGUUAAUUUUUGUUAUUCUGAAUCAAACUAAGAAAUAAGUUAAAACUUUCAACAACGGAUCUCUUGGUUCUGGCAUCGAUGAAGAACGCAGCAUCUGACUGACUCGACAGCUGACAAUCUCGUAUG
rnacentral:misc_RNA from 1 species